GACGAACGCUGGCGGCGUGCUUAACACAUGCAAGUCGAGCGGUAAGGCCCUUUCGGGGGUACACGAGCGGCGAACGGGUGAGUAACACGUGGGUGACCUGCCCUCAGCUCUGGGAUAAGCCUGGGAAACCGGGUCUAAUACCGGAUAUGACUCCACGGUGCAUGUCGUGGGGUGGAAAGCCUUGUGCGGCUGAGGAUGGGCCCGCGGCCUAUCAGCUUGUUGGUGGGGUGANGGCCUACCAAGGCGACGACGGGUAGCCGGCCUGAGAGGGCGACCGGCCACACUGGGACUGAGACACGGCCCAGACUCCUACGGGAGGCAGCAGUGGGGAAUCUUGCGCAAUGGGCGAAAGCCUGACGCAGCGACGCCGCGUGAGGGAUGACGGCCU
rnacentral:rRNA from 1 species